CCCCCCCAGUUCUCUUUCCCAUGGGAUUUGCACACUGGUCGUGGUGGUCCUAAAGGAGGAAAAGGAGUGCUGAAGCAGGUCUCACAGCCUUAUAGCCUGGCAUGUGGACUAAUAGGGAUGAGUCAAAAAAUA
rnacentral:snoRNA from 1 species